GAGGUUUCGGCCAAGAAGACAGGGUGUUUAGUGGCGGACGGGUGAGUAACGCGUGAGUAACCUGCCUUGGAGUGGGGAAUAACACAGUGAAAACUGUGCUAAUACCGCAUAAUGCAUUUGGGUCGCAUGAUCCUGAAUGCCAAAGAUUUAUCGCUCUGAGAUGGACUCGCGUCUGAUUAGCUAGUUGGCGGGGCAAUGGCCCACCAAGGCGACGAUCAGUAGCCGGACUGAGAGGUUGGCCGGCCACAUUGGGACUGAGACACGGCCCAGACUCCUACGGGAGGCAGCAGUGGGGAAUAUUGGGCAAUGGGCGCAAGCCUGACCCAGCAACGCCGCGUGAAGGAAGAAGGCUUUCGGGUUGUAAACUUCUUUUGUCAGGGACGAAGCAAGUGACGGUACCUGACGAAUAAGCCACGGCUAACUACGUGCCAGCAGCCGCGGUAAUACGUAGGUGGCAAGCGUUAUCCGGAUUUACUGGGUGUAAAGGGCGUGUAGGCGGGAAAGCAAGUCAGAUGUGAAAACUGUGGGCUCAACCCACAGCCUGCAUUUGAAACUGUUUUUCUUGAGUACUGGAGAGGCAGAUGGAAUUCCUAGUGUAGCGGUGAAAUGCGUAGAUAUUAGGAGGAACACCAGUGGCGAAGGCGAUCUGCUGGACAGCAACUGACGCUGAGGCGCGAAAGCGUGGGGAGCAAACAGG
rnacentral:rRNA from 1 species